GACGAACGCUGGCGGCGUGCUUAACACAUGCAAGCCGAACGAUGAGGCUGGAGCUUGCUCCGGUGGAUUAGUGGCGAACGGGUGAGUAACACGUGAGCAAUCUGCCCUUGACUCUGGGAUAACUGCGGGAAACUGUAGCUAAUACCGGAUACGAGGCUCGAAGGCAUCUUCGGGUUUGGGAAGAAUUUCGGUCAAGGAUGAGCUCGCGGCCUAUCAGCUUGUUGGUGAGGUAAUGGCUCACCAAGGCGACGACGGGUAGCCGGCCUGAGAGGGUGGCAGGCCACACUGGGACUGAGAAUCGGCCCGGAGUCCUGCUGGAGUCAGAGGUGGGGAAUAUUGCACAAUGGGCGAAAGCCUGAUGCAGUGACGCAGCGUGAGGGAUGCGGGCGUUCGGGUUGUAAACCUCUUUUCGCAGGGAAGAGGCGAAAGUGACGGUACCUGCAGAAAAAGCACCGUCUAACUACGUGCCAGCAGCCGCCGCAG
rnacentral:rRNA from 1 species